rnacentral:rRNA from 1 species
AGCAGUAGCCGCGGGAAUACAGAGGGUGCGAGCGUUAAUCGGAUUUACUGGGCGUAAAGCGUGCGUAGGCGGCUUUUUAAGUCGGAUGUGAAAUCCCUGAGCUUAACUUAGGAAUUGCAUUCGAUACUGGGAAGCUAGAGUAUGGGAGAGGAUGGUAGAAUUCCAGGUGUAGCGGUGAAAUGCGUAGAGAUCUGGAGGAAUACCGAUGGCGAAGGCAGCCAUCUGGCCUAAUACUGACGCUGAGGUACGAAAGCAUGGGGAGCAAACAGGAUUAGAGACCCCCGUAGUCCCUGUCUCUUAUAC